GAGAUGUGAUCAAGAUCAGACUCCCAAAUCCAACAGCAUUUGAGGUCUUUGCUCGAUUAAUAUCA
rnacentral:pre_miRNA from 1 species